UAACACUUAAAUACAUCAUAAAAUGAAACUAUUAAUAUAAAAAUUGUCCAACAAGCUAAUAAUAUCAAUAAAGCAAAUAUUCUACCCCAAGUGCAUAAUUUUAAUACAUUUCAAGAUAAUAAGUGUUGUUAACAAAAGAUUCCUAGAACACUCAUCUAUAGCAAUUCAAAAUUCAUCUUAAGUAAUGUCUAGAUCAUCACGGCCUUCAUCUUUCAUUUCUUGAUCUACUCCACCUACAAAAGAGGAUAAAUAAAGUCAUUACCCUUCAAGAGAAUCUGGUCGAAGAAUGCUCAUAGGACACCGAAAGAUAUUGAAUGUCCGGACAAAAUAUAUGACACAAAAAAGAAAAAAAAAAGAAAAGAAAAAACUGGACAUACAAAAUGCUAGUCAUGAGCCUAGCUUUUCUACAGAUAAACACAUUAUGUAGAGCCAAAUUUAGAUAUCAAAUGUGCAUGCAAGCUGCUAAAAAGAAUUACGUAGCAUAUGUGACUGACUCUUCCGAGCAGAAGUUUAGAGAGGAAUAAGCAAAAUCCAUUAAAAUAGAGAGUGUUACAAGCAUACCAGAUCAAGAUGAUUUGAUAGGAACCUAUGGAAAAUAGCAAUG
rnacentral:lncRNA from 1 species